rnacentral:tRNA from 1 species
GCUCCUGUAGCUCAGAGGUAGAGCACUCCCUUGGUAAGGGAGAGGUCGUCGGUUCAAUUCCGACCAGGAGCU